ACUGCUAUCGGGGUGGGACUAAGACAUGCGAGUCGAGCGUCUCUAGCUAUGUUGAGACGCGGCAUACGGCUCAGUAACACGUGGCUAACCUACCCUCAGGACGGGGACAACCCCGGGAAACUGGGGCUAAUAUCCGAUAGGCGAGGAAUCCUGGAAUGGUUUCUCACCUAAAGGGCUUUGAAAACAUGCUUUCUCUGUCGCCUGGGGAUGGGGCCGCGUCCGAUCAGGUUGUUGGUGAGGUAAUGGCUCACCAAGCCUAUAACCGGUACGGGCCGUGAGAGCGGUAGCCCGGAGAUGGGUACUGAGACAAGGACCCAGGCCCUACGGGGCGCAGCAGUCGCGAAAACUCCGCAAUGCACGAAAGUGUGACGGGGCUACCCCGAGUGCCGUCCGCUGAGGAUGGCUUUUCCCUGGUGUAACUAGCCGGGGGAAUAAGGAGAGGGCAAGACUGGUGUCAGCCGCCGCGGUAAUACCAGCUCUCCGAGUGGUAGGGAUGUUUAUUGGGCUUAAAGCGUCCGUAGCCGGCUUAGCAAGUUUCCUGUUAAAUUCAGCGACUUAAUCGUUGGUCCGCGGGAAAUACUACUAGGCUAGGAGGCGGGAGAGGUCAACGGUACUUCUGGGGUAGGGGUGAAAUCCUAUAAUCCCGGGAGGACCACCAGUGGCGAAGGCUGUUGACUAGAACGCGCUCGACGGUGAGGGACGAAAGCUGGGGGAGCGAACCGGAUUAGAUACCCGGGUAGUCCCAGCUGUAAACGAUGCGGGCUAGGUGUUGGGGUGGCUACGUGCCACUUCAGUGCCGCAGGGAAGCCAUUAAGCCCGCCGCCUGGGGAGUACGGCCGCAAGGCUGAAACUUAAAGGAAUUGGCGGGGGAGCACCACAAGGCGUGAAG
rnacentral:rRNA from 1 species